GGGAGCAGUAGCAUCUUAGCUGCUUCCGGCCGCUGGUCGCAGGGCUGCGGGACUACAAUCUUCGCAUGAAAUGGAAGAGAGGGUGGUGCGGAUAGCUUGAGGAAGGAACACUACAAGGCCUGUUAGAGAAGAAAGGGUAGAAUCCCGAGAAUGUUUUCCCCACAGUGCUGAUAAGGAGAGACCACUAUCCCAUCUACUGCUACAGCUCUGGAGACAGAGCUCUCCCACCUGUCAUAUAGAACACAAGGACCAAUCUGCAGAGAAAGAGCAUCCAAACCUGAUCCAGUGGACACUGGGGAAAAACUCACCACAGCUGAGUGUGGAAAAACAAGGCCAACACACACAUCUCUGCACAGAUACAUCUCCCAUAAAGAAACUAAAGUGUUAAUUUACAGGGCACUGUUGCAGACCCACUUCAGCUGGAAGCUAGGAACAUGGACAAGGAGCCUCUCUACCACCAAGGGAGAGAGAGGAAUGUGCUCUUGUCCUGGCAUUGCAUCCACAGGAGGGGCAGGAAAUUCUUUGAAGUUCGUUUUCAUAGAAUUCUUCAUACCUGUUUCUAUGAGGAAUGAACUGGAUGUGUUUGAAGACAAGCUGAAGAGCUACGUUACCUCUGUGAACAAAGUGGGGAUGCUGGCUCCAUUAACCCUGCAGGUGAAAAAGCUGAUCAACCCCAGGUCAUAUUUUGUAAACAUGUUUAAGGCUAAAUUAAAAUUUGAACAUGCUCUAAGAAUUUUUUUUCAAUAGCCUGUUUAUUUUUAAUGCCUAUUGGAAAAAUUGAAAUGAAUAUUUAAUUUCAAAUUUGGAC
rnacentral:lncRNA from 1 species